CCUACGGGUGGCAGCAGUGGGGAAUAUUGGGCAAUGGGCGCAAGCCUGACCCAGCAACGCCGCGUGAAGGAAGACGGCUUUCGGGUUGUAAACUUCUUUUCUCAGGGACGCAGCACGUGCCUGUCCCUGCGUACUCAGCCACGCCUAACUACGUGCCAGCAGCCGCGGUAAGCCGUAGGUGGCAGGCGUUCUCCGGAUUUACUGGGGGUACAGGGCGUGUAGGCGUGAAAGCAAGUCAGAUGGGAAAACCAUGGGCUCAACCUUUUGCCUGCAGUUGAAACUGGUGUUCUUGAGUACUGGAGAGGCAGACGGAAUGCCUAGUGUAGCGGUGAAAUGCGUAGAGAGCAGGAGGAACACCAGUGGCGAAGGCGGUAUGCUGGAGAGCAACUGACGCUGAGGCGCGAAAGCGUGGGGAGCAAACAGGAUUAGAUACCCCUGUAGUC
rnacentral:rRNA from 1 species